GCAUAUCAAUAAGCGGAGGAAAAGAAACUAACAAGGAUUCCCUUAGUAACGGCGAGUGAAGCGGGAAGAGCUCAAAUUUGAAAUCUUCAAGGUUCUACCUUGACGAAUUGUAGUUUAAAGAAGUGUUUUCUGUUAGAUGAGUAGCAAAAGUUCCUUGGAAUGGGACAUCAUAGAGGGUGAGAAUCCCGUAUUUGGUUAUUCAUUCUAGCUUUGUGAUACACUUUCAAAGAGUCGGAUUGUUUGGGAAUGCAGUCCAAAAUGGGUGGUAAAUUUCAUCUAAAGCUAAAUAUUGGCGAGAGACCGAUAGCGAACAAGUACCGUGAGGGAAAGAUGAAAAGAACUUUGAAAAGAGAGUUAAACAGUACGUGAAAUUGUCAAAAGGGAAGCGUUUGACACCAGUGUUGUUUUUCCGAAAAUCAAUUACGAAUGGCUUGAUUUUGUGUUGUAUUGACCUUAUCAGCUUUCUGCACUUUUUUCGAGUCUUUCUUAAUGCACUUUUCGGUUAACAAGUCAACAUCAAUUUCUUUUGUUGUAAAAGAGUAUUCGGAAGGUGGCUUUCUUUUCGGAGAAAGUGUUUAUAGCCCUAUACUUCUACAAUCGGAGAGAUUGAGGUCUGCAGCGUAGAUCCUUCGGGGUUAGAUACACUUGUGCUAAGUUGUAGCUUUUCAUAGACAACUUGUUGACUAUGUUUAGUCAUGCGGCUUACUCGCUUGUGCUAUUUUACCUACGCUUAGGAUGUUGACAAAAUGGUUUUAAACGACCCGUCUUGAAACACGGACC
rnacentral:rRNA from 1 species